GUGGACGCGAUGGAUGAGAUGGAUAGGACUCUAGCUACCUUGCAUUGGGUGGGGGGGAGAUAAGGUCAUGGGGGAGGUCGUUCGCGCUAGGACUCGAUCCAGCAACCGAUUCCUUUGGGUUGACGUGGUGACGCUCUCUGCCAUGCGAUUCAAGUUCUAAUUGCUUCUGCUAGACCCGCACCACCGUCGCCUCCCACCACGCGUGCCAGUAAGAGAAACCUUGUCACGACCGCCGGCAAGGAGAUGUGUAGCCGCGUGCGCCUCCUGCUUGACCUCCCCGUGGGAGCCACCCCAACACGGCUGCUGGUGCAACGCAACUGCAAUGAAUUCCACUGGAGCCACGGCGCCGUCGCCUCCUGUCGCGUGCGAGCUAUCUCUGCCACCACCGACGACGAGGAGAAAAAGUGGACGCGAUGGAUGAGAUGGAUAGGACUCUAGCUACCUUGCGUACGGUGAGGGGGAGGGGGUUUGUUCGUGUUAGAACUAGAUCUAGCGACCGAUUCCUUUGGGUUGACGUGGCGACACUUUCUGCCAUACGAUUUGGAUUGGUCAUCCCACAAGCAGUCCGUAGUUCGCUGCGAAUUACAACUUUUAAUUGCUUCUGCUGGACCCGCACCACAGUCGCCUCCCGCCGCACGUGCCAGUGGGAGUAACUCUAUCGCGGUCGCCGGCGUGGAGAUGUGUGUCCACGUGCGCCUCUAGCUCGACCUCCCCGCGGGAGCCACCCCAACGCGGCUACUGGUGCAGCGCAACUGCGACGAAUUCCACUGGAGUCGUGCCACCGUCGCCUCCUGGCUCUUGUCGCGUGCGAGCUACCUCUGGCACCGUCGGCGGCGAGGAGAAAAAGUGGACGCGAUGGAUAGGACUCUAGCUACCUUGCGUUGGGUGGAGGGAGGGAGAUAAGGUCAUGGGGGAGGGGGGUUGUUCGCGCUAGGACUCGAUCCAGCAACCGAUUCCUUUGGGUUGACCUGGUGACGCUCUCUGGCAUACUAUUCAGCGAGAUGAUUUUCUACCUGAUUUGGUCUGCAUCCGCACUGACCAAUAUCUGACGGGCGACCUGAAAAAGACCAUACUGCCUCGACAGCGCCAGUGCCAGUUAAUCGCCCUGCCAUACUCAACCGAAAGAAUAAGCAUGGACACUUGCUUCACAGUCAGAGGGACCAAGUUGUUUGGCGGUUCAAGGUACUGGAGACAAAACUAGUAUAUUCAGCAGAAAAUUUCCUGUUCAUAAUCAAAGCGGCCGAACCAUAGCUAACGGUGGAACUCCGGCUUCCGUUGCUCGCGCCACCAUCUCCCAAACCCUUCAUUUUCCAAUCAGACGAUAGUAGUGGCGGUAUUGAUUACACGCACGUACUGCUGUUUGCGCGGCCGAGACGAGUUACAAUGUACACUCUUUUUGGAUGCAUGGCAGGGCUUUUCGUCUACAAAAACGUCUUCAUCACGCCCGAGUUUCAUUUACUAGUCUGAACGGUGCAGAACCGUUUUAAUUUACCUAGACGAAAACGGCACGGUUUACCUGUCUGGACCAGCGCGACCAAGUCCACUUACUAGUCCAGAAGGUGCUGAACCCUUUCAUUUGGCUAGAAGAAAAUAACCGUUUUCACAUGUCAGCACGCCGCAGCACAGAACUUUUGGUAAAUGACCACCAUCAGCCAACUCAGAAGGUUGCCCCAAGUAGCUCCUGUCCAUCCCUGCCGGUUGAGAAAGGCGCCACACCUUUUGUCUCGAGUAAGCCUGCAAAGUCAGAGAGUAGGCUCCCAUUCUGGAACUACGCCUCUAGAAAGGUUCAGCUUACCAUUCCUCUUCAGUUUUGGCGAAAUUCAGCAAUUCGUAAAAUUGGAACCUUAUCCACAUAGAGAUGCGGAUCUCAAAGCAAACGAAUGGUUCUGAUAACAACCA